UGCGCAGGCGGUAUGAUUAGUCAGUGGUGAAAGCCCUCGGCUCAACCGAGGAACUGCCAUUGAUACUGUCAUUCUUGAGUACAGUUGUAGUGGGCGGAAUGUGUCAUGUAGCGGUGAAAUGCAUAGAGAUGACACAGAACACCGAUCGCGAAGGCAGCUCACUAAGCUGAAACUGACGCUCAGGCACGAAAGCGUGGGUAGCAAACAGGAUUAGAUACCCUGGUAGUCC
rnacentral:rRNA from 1 species